rnacentral:lncRNA from 1 species
GUCAUCGAGCCCGAGCAGAAGGCCUCCGGCACGUCCAACUCGCUG